AUACGGAGGAUCCGAGCGUUAUCCGGAUUUAUUGGGUUUAAAGGGUGCGCAGGCGGCCAUUUAAGUCAGCGGUUAAAUCGUGGGGCUCAACCCCAUUCUGCCGUUGAUACUGGGUGGCUUGAUUGCGGUCGAGGUUGGCGGAAUUCGUUGUGUAGCGGUGAAAUGCAUAGAUAUGACGAAGAACACCGAUUGCGUAGGCAGCUGACCAGACCGCAAAUGACGCUCAUGCACGAAAGUGCGGGGAUCGAAUAGGAUUAGAUACCCUGGUAGUCCGCACAGUAAACGAUGAAUACUUGUUUUCGGCGAUAUAAUGUCGGAGGCAAAGCGAAAGCGAUAAGUAUUCCACCUGGGGAGUACGCCGGCAACGGUGAAACUCAAAUGAAUUGGCGGGG
rnacentral:rRNA from 1 species